GUGCCAGCCGCCGCGGUAAUACCGGCAGCCCGAGUGAUGGCCGAUCUUAUUGGGCCUAAAGCGUCCGUAGCUGGCCGCGCAAGUCCAUCGGGAAAUCCACCCGCCCAACGGGUGGCCGUCCGGUGGAAACUGCACGGCUUGGGACCGGAAGGCGCGACGGGUACGUCCAGGGUAGGAGUGAAAUCCCGUAAUCCCGGACGGACUACCGAUGGCGAAAGCACUCUGAGAAGACGGCUUCGACAGUGAGGGACGAAAGCUCGGGUCUCAAACCGGAUUAGAAACCCUGGUAGUCC
rnacentral:rRNA from 1 species